GUAUACUCAAAUGGCAAAUGAGUAUAAUUUACACAGUGCCAUUCAUUUAAAUGAUGUAAAACAGUAAAGAGAAGCUUUUUUGUUGCAGUAACUGCUGAAGCUACAGUUGGAGGGAACACUGAAUGAAAAGGAAGGUACUCUAGUCUAAAACCAAGCAAUGACCCCAUAAAUUACAUAAGCUUUGUUUUCAGAUAUAUUUACAGUGUUAAAACAAAUACUCUUGUCAUUAAGAGUUACACAGAUCUCUGCAGCUUAAAUGUGAGGACCUCCAGCUAGAGGCACAAAGGAAGCUUGAGCAGAACCAUCAUCUGAAAGAGGAAGCAUUAAAGCAGUACUGCUUUCAGAUCCAGGAGACCAAAUUAAAGCACAGAAAGAUUCGGAUUAAGUUUGAGAAUCGGCUUCAUCAAUUAAUGGAGCAGCAUAAAAACC